rnacentral:rRNA from 1 species
UACGUAGGGUGCGAGCGUUAAUCGGAAUUACUGGGCGUAAAGCGUGCGCAGGCGGUUUUGUAAGCCAGAUGUGAAAGCCCCGGGCUUAACCUGGGAAUGGCAUUUGGGACUGCAAGGCUUGAGUGCGGCAGAGGAGACUGGAAUUCCUGGUGUAGCAGUGAAAUGCGUAGAUAUGCGGAGGAACACCGAUGGCGAAGGCAAUCCCCUGGGCCUGCACUGACGCUCAUGCACGAAAGCGUGGGGAGCAAACGGG